ensembl:lncRNA
AAACUCCCUAAGUAGUGGAGGAUGAACUUGAACUUCUGAUCUUCCUGUCUCCACUUCUCAAGAGCCUGGCUGACAGGUGUGGGUCACCAUGCUUGGCUUAUGCGGUGCUGGGGAUUGAACCCGGAUCUUUGUGUGCUCUCCCAGCCGAGCUACAUUUCCAGCCCAUGCGAGGUGCUCGUUUUUAAACACCGCAAACCCCAUAUGUAAGAAGGAACUCUUGUAGUUCAGGCAAUGUGUCCUCACGUAUCUUUCUCGGUUUUGCAUGUGAACCCGAGUCUCUUCACAAACAGGCAAUAAUCCACUCGGACAGAUCCACAGCUCGGGGACUUCAGGAUAAUUAGUGAAGAGUGUUAACCAGCAGUGCUGCCAAAACGUUUUGCUCCAGGUCCAAGAUGAGCGUCUGCGGCCAGGAUGGGCCUGUUUCCUGUGGUGAAUUCCCAUCACGAUGCUGCCGCUAUUUCCUGUCCAGCUAAAGAUCAGAAAGUGACAGGCUGCCUCUCGCUUCCCUGCCUGCCCAGCCUGCUGGUUUCAGCAGUAGUUUGUCAUGCCAGAAUGCCUAACGAGACCAGCUCCCAACACCUGUGGCCCUAAUAAUCACCAGAGUGGGACAUUUCUGUGUGGUGCGUUCCCAAAGAAUUGAAGAAGUACUUGGCACUUGGAAAAUGGGUUAGCUGAUAAAGCUACUUGUCUUGUGAGUUUGAUCCUCAGAACUUUGGUAAAAAGCCAGCUUUGUACCGCGGUGCCCCAAGAUAUCUGCUUUGGCACCGGGGGCUGGAGGACUGACCUGGCACCACCUCACCCACUACACCACUCAGGAUGGAAUCUUACUCCUCAGAGCCUGCCGAGAGAGUGGACAGGAGAAAACGAUGCCUGGAUUUGGGGGUGAAGCCAACUUGCUUGCCCACUCUGCAGAAUGGCGGUCCUGGACAUGUCUCAGCUGUCCAUGAUGUAUCCAUCUUUCUUGUUUCUCCCUUCCCAGCUCUGCAGGAACCUAACUGAGAGACAAUUGCAAUUGGUAUGGUGGCCUAGAGCCAUGCGGAUGGUCCGGUAGGUGGUGAGAGGGGUAGUUUUACUAUGCCCCUGCUCUUGUGACAUUGUCCCUUUGGUCCUUGUGACAUUACUAUCCUUUCCCAUUGUGUUUUGAAGCCCCCCCAUAUAAAAAUUGAUUUAUUA